rnacentral:rRNA from 1 species
GACGAACGCUGGCGGCGUGCUUAACACAUGCAAGUCGAACGGAAAGGCCCUGCUUUUGUGGGGUGCUCGAGUGGCGAACAGGUGAGUAACACGUGAGUAACCUGCCCUUGACUUUGGGAUAACUUCAGGAAACUGGGGCUAAUACCGGAUAGGAGCUCCUGCUGCAUGGUGGGGGUUGGAAAGUUUCGGCGGUUGGGGAUGGACUCGCGGCUUAUCAGCUUGUUGGUGGGGUAGUGGCUUACCAAGGCUUUGACGGGUAGCCGGCCUGAGAGGGUGACCGGCCACAUUGGGACUGAGAUACGGCCCAGACUCCUACGGGAGGCAGCAGUGGGGAAUAUUGCACAAUGGGCGGAAGCCUGAUGCAGCAACGCCGCGUGCGGGAUGACGGCCUUCGGGUUGUAAACCGAUUUCGCCUGUGACGAAGCGUGAGUGACGGUAAUGGGUAAAGAAGCACCGGCUAACUACGUG